rnacentral:rRNA from 1 species
UACGAAGGGGGCUAGCGUUGCUCGGAAUCACUGGGCGUAAAGGGUGCGUAGGCGGACUGAUAAGUCAGUGGUGAAAUCUCUUUGCUUAACAAAGAAACUGCCAUUGAUACUGUCGGUCUAGAGUAUAGAUGACGUUGGCGGAAUAUGACAUGUAGUGGUGAAAUACUUAGAUAUGUCAUAGAACACCGAUUGCGAAGGCAGCUAACGAAAACUAUAACUGACGCUGAGGCACGAAAGUGCGGGGAUCAAAACAGG